UACGUAGGGUGCAAGCGUUGUUCGGACUUAUUGGGCGUAAAGGGCGCGUAGGUGGCCCGAUAAGUCGGGGGUGAAACGCUGCGGCUCACCCGCAGCACUGCCUUCGAGACUGUCAGGCUUGAGCACGGUAGAGGCUGGUGGAAGUCCCGGUGUAGCGGUGGAAUGCGUAGAGAUCGGGAAGAACAUCGGUGGCGAAGGCGGCCAGCUGGGCCGUUGCUGACACUGAGGCGCGACAGCGUGGGGAGCAAACAGG
rnacentral:rRNA from 1 species